CCACGCCCACACAAUCAGCCAGAUCACCUGAAACACCUGUGUGGCUCUUCAGAUUUGAAAAAAGGCCUGCAUUUUCCUCCAGACCACUUUGAAAACAGAACUAUGAUGAAUGGAGGUGGAUAUGCUGGAGGUGGAGAAGAACUCAGCUGACUCAUCCAAUCUACCAGGAAAUGGAGAAUUUGUUUAAAAGUGGCAGUAGAUCAUAGUCUUGAAGCAUCAGGCAACCUGCCAGGAAGAGGGGAAAACCUACUCUCGGCAGACUGCAUGGAAGCAGUUUUGGAGGAACGAAGAAGAAUGGGAGAGCAGUGGAGAGCUGCUGAAGAAAAGUAAACAAGAGGAAGAAGGCUCAUAUUAAUGUCAUUAUAUUUCCCUUUUUCCAACUGCCAGUGUACUUACUACUGUUCUUAACCCUAACAUUAACCCUGUCUGUUAGAGUCCACAGCAUCUCAUCCUCCCCCCGCCCCCCCAAUCACCCUCAGCACCAGAGGAGAACCCUACUUACCCUACCCUACUUAUACACUGCUGACCUAUGACUGCUCAGCGAGGCAGCAGAGGACUUGGCAGAAGACACGGCAGUGGUAGGACUCAACUACAACGAUGAGUCCGAUUACAGGGAGGAAGUGAAAUAUCUGGAGGCCUGGUGCAAGCACUCAGCAGCUGAUAAGAAAGAUGACCUGCAAUCAACAAUCUUGGUCCCCUCCCAGG